CUUGCAACCACCACCCCCCGCGUCCGGCGGAUCACCUGUUCGACAGCAUGCGUCCGCCGUUCGUCCGGUGGAUCCCCUAUUCGACGGUUGUGCCCGACCGCCUAGGCGCGCUCCCGGACGCGGUACUCCAGCACGUGCUCUCGUUCCUGCCGUCGCGCGACGCCGUGCGCACCUGCCUGCUCGCCCGCCGCUGGCGCCACCAGUGGAAGUCCGUGCCGGCCCUGCGGAUCACCGGCUUCGACUCCUUCGAGAGCGGCCGCGACCUCAACGACUUCGUCAACCAUCUCAUCAUCCUCCGCGACCGGACGCGUCUCCAUGCGUGCGAGAUCGAGGCCUACUCGGAGUACGACGGCCGCGGCAACUAUUCCGCCGACGACGGAAGCGAGCGGUCCCGGUACACCGAUCUGUGGACCCGGUACGCCUCGUCGUGCCAGGCUCGGCUGCUUCGGCUCAGCGACCGUGACCCCGCUAAUCGCAUUGCCGAACACGAGUGGGUUCAGCUUAGCACUUCCAUCGCCUCUCCGCAUCUUACGACGCUGGAGCUCGAUGGCGUGCUGCUCUCGAUCCCUUCCGAUCUGGAUUUCUCGGCCUGCACAAACCUGCAGACAAUAAAGAUGAACCGCUGCACCUUCCAAAAUACAACCGACUACGGUCCUGUCAACAUAUCGUCAACAUCUACUCCCUCCGUUCCCAAAUACUUGUCUUUCUAGGCAUUUUAAAUGGACUCAACAUACGGAUGUAUGUAGACAUAUUUUAAAGUGUAGAUUCACUCAUUUUGUGCCGUAUGUAGUCACUUGUUGAAAUCUCUAGAAAGACAAGUAUUUAGGAACGGAGGGAGUAUGCGAUAUCUGAGCAUCACCGACUACUCUUUUAUGAAACAUGCUCUCGUUUCUGGCCCGAGCCUCGUCUACCUGGAGCUGGCAGACGGCCAUCAGUUUGUUCCUGAGUUUGGGAGCAUGCCGUCGUUGCGAACAGCAUCUUUAAGCUUGAUCACAGUUUCGAUAGGGACGGCGAGGAUGGUUCCUGGCUUCUUGGACGCCUGUCAGAUAUCACUAAUCUAGCGCUCAUUGCCGAGCCUCAAAUGUUUCCUGUUUUCAGGAAAGAUUUUAAGUGGUGCACCGCAUUUAACAAGCUCAAAACCUUGUCAGUCAAUGAUUGGUGUGUGGAGCCUGAUUUUCGCCCACUACUUUACUUUCUCCAGCAGUCACCAAGUCUCGAGAAGCUCUGCCUCCAACUAUUUAUGCCAUAUCAAAAUGCUGAAGGAACAAACAGAAGCUACGAUACGACAAAACCAUUUUUAGCAUCGAAGUAUCUCAGGGAUGUCAAGAUCAAAUGCCAUGAAAAAGAUGAGCGUGUUCACAAAAUUGUGAAGGUUCUGAGUUCCUGUGGAGUGCCUGUUGAGCAAAUCGAGAUCAAGAUAAAUAGGCAUUCUUAAGACAAUUCAGAGGAGUCAAAACUAUUCACAUUCAGAUUCAGGGCAGUCAAAGUAUUCACGUUCAGAUUCAGAGCGAGAGCAAUCGGAUUAACAGUUGGAAUGUAGCCAUGAGUUCACUAUCUUGCUUCGCCAUAGGACCUUUAGUGAAAUUUCUAGUUGUCGAGUUGAGGCCUUUGUUUUGUGAUAUGGAUGCAAUUGGGAUAUGGAUGCAUAUGAGGCCAUGUUAUUUGCUUUAUACUUUUGGUUCAUGUGUCAU